UACGGAGGGGGCUAGCGUUGUUCGGAAUUACUGGGCGUAAAGCGCACGUAGGCGGCUUUGUAAGUUAGAGGUGAAAGCCCAGGGCUUAACCCUGGAAUUGCCUUUAAGACUGCAUCGCUUGAAUCCAGGAGAGGUGAGUGGAAUUCCGAGUGUAGAGGUGAAAUUCGUAGAUAUUCGGAAGAACACCAGUGGCGAAGGCGGCUCACUGGACUGGUAUUGACGCUGAGGUGGCGAAAGCGUGGGGAGCAAACAGG
rnacentral:rRNA from 1 species